rnacentral:rRNA from 1 species
UACGUAGGGUGCAGGCGUUAAUCGGAAUUACUGGGCGUAAAGCGUGCGCAGGCGGUUUCUUAAGUCAGACGUGAAAUCCCCAGGCUCAACCUGGGAACUGCGUCUGAUACUGGAUGGCUUGAAUCCGGGAGAGGGAUGCAGAAUUCCAGGUGUAGCGGUGAAAUGCGUAGAUAUCUGGAGGAAUACCGGUGGCGAAGGCGGCAUCCUGGACCGGCAUUGACGCUGAGGAGCGAAAGCCAGGGGAGCAAACGGG